GGGGGGGGGGGCAGUGGGGCAGCAGUGGAGCAGGUAGACAGCUUCAAGUUCCUCGGUGUCCAAAUCACUAAAGACUUAAAAUGGUCCAAACACACUCGCACAGUCUUGAAGAAGGCAUGACAGUGCCUCUACCCCUUCAGGAGGUAGAGCAUAUUGACCGGCUGCAUCACUGCUUAGUAUGGCAAUAGCACCGCCCUCGAUCGCAUGGCUCUAUCACUGGGGCCGAGCUCCCUGCCAUCCAGGACCUCUAUAUUAGGCGGUGUGAAAAGAAGGCCAGGAAAAUUGUCAAAGACCCCAACCACCCAAGCCAUAGACUAUUUUCUCAGCUGCCGCACGACAAGAGGUAAUGGAACCAUGGGAGUUGGUUGGGAUGGACCUAACCAGGGCAUCUGAGGGGUACCAGUACAUAUGUGUAAUGAUGGAUUACAUUUCAAAAUGGACAGAGGCUUUCCCCUUAAAGACAAAACGUGCAGAGGAGGUCACAGACUGCAUUGUGAAAUUGUUCUACAGGUUUGGCGUCCCCAAAAUAAUUGUAACUGAUCAAGGGAAGUAAUUUGUGAACAAGGACCCUUAACAAACAGGUGAACCUGAAAGCAGAACAAUGGAACAAAUUCCUGGAUGCUACCAUUUUUGAAAUCAGAACAAAGAAAAAAUUAUGACAAAGUUCUUCCCAUACUUUUUGAUGUUUGGCCAAAAUGCUCUAUAUCCUUCUAAGAUGCCAGUACAUUAUGAAGCAGAUGCAAGUGUUGAGGAUGUCCUGGCAAAUGAGAUCCUGGCAGAGGGUCUGAAAAGGCACUAAGACAUUUGCAGAGAACACAGGAAGAAGAAUGAUAAUUUAAUUACCAUAGUGAAUUAUUGUAAUGUUUGUUUAUGUGUCAAUUAAUCCCAUAAGGGAUGGGAUGCCAAUUGGCGAUUUGACAAAAGAAAAAAAUCAUAAUACAGAAUAGUACUAAUAGAAUGUGGAGAAGGAGCAAGAGAAGGUGAGGAAGAGGAAGUUGACACAGGGAAAUUAAGUGACCUUUGCCAUUGGAGACCAGGUCCUGAGAAGGAACAUCCGGAGCCAGCAAAGGAAGUGUGGCAUAUUGGACCAUGACCAGUUGGGCCCAUAUAUUAUUGCCAGAAUUGAUGGGAAGAAUGCAGACCUGCUUUCUAAGGAACGGAUGUUGACCCCAACGAUAACACUAACCACCUGGUCAUGUUCAAAGAGGAAAAGGAAAGAAUCCCACACAAAUCCUGUCGACUUACUACCCCAUCUGCUGCCUCUUCUGCUGGUCACACUGCUGCGUCU
rnacentral:lncRNA from 1 species